CAUUUGCCUUAUAAUUGAAGGCUGGAAUGAAUGGUUUGACAAGAGUAUAGCUGUCUCUUUUGAAUUAUUUAGAACUUUAUUUUUGGAUGAAAAAGUCCAGAUAAUAAAAAAAGACAAGGAGACCCUAUCGAGCUUUAGAAAAUUAAUAGAUGUAAUACGAGUCAAUAUAAGUAAAAGAAAAACUAUUAAAUAUUUUGGUUGGGGCAACCGAGGAGCAUUUAAAGCCUCCUUUAAUUUGAAAGUCUGACUUGUGUUGAUCCAAAUUUUUUGAUCAAAGGAAUUAGUUACCGUAGGGAUAACAGCAUUAUCUUUUUUAAGAGCCCAUAUCGAAAAAAAGGUUUGUGACCUCGAUGUUGGACCAGAAUAUCCUAAU
rnacentral:rRNA from 1 species